UUGUCCCUACGGGGGGCAGCAGUGAGGAAUAUUGGUCAAUGGGCGAGAGCCUGAACCAGCCAAGUCGCGUGAGGGAAGACGGUCCUAUGGAUUGUAAACCUCUUUUGCCGGGGAGCAAAAAGCGGUACGUGUACCGCAUCGAGAGUACCCGGAGAAAAAGCAUCGGCUAACUCCGUGCCAGCAGCCGCGGUAAUACGGAGGAUGCGAGCGUUAUCCGGAUUUAUUGGGUUUAAAGGGUGCGUAGGCGGGCUUUUAAGUCAGCGGUAAAAAUUCGGGGCUCAACCCCGUCCGGCCGUUGAAACUGG
rnacentral:rRNA from 1 species